rnacentral:rRNA from 2 species
GGCCGACAGGCGUAGUCGAUGGAUAACGGGUUGAUAUUCCCGUACCGGCGUUGACGCGGCCAUGCUGAACCUGGUUUGUGCUAACCAUCUGAUCGGAUGUGUCUCUUCGGAGGUGUGUUCGGGAGGGUGGGAUCCCGGCUGGUAGUAGGCAA